UACGAAGGGGGCUAGCGUUGCUCGGAAUCACUGGGCGUAAAGGGUGCGUAGGCGGGUCUUUAAGUCAGGGGUGAAAUCCCGGAGCUCAACUCCGGAACUGCCUUUGAUACUGGAAAGCUUGAGUCCGGGAGAGGUGAGUGGAACUGCGAGUGUAGAGGUGAAAUUCGUAGAUAUUCGCAAGAACACCAGUGGCGAAGGCGGCUCACUGGCCCGAUACUGACGCUGAGGUGCGAAAGCGUGGGGAGCAAACAGG
rnacentral:rRNA from 1 species